rnacentral:rRNA from 1 species
AACGAACGCUGGUGGCAGGCUUAACACAUGCAAGUCGAACGCGAAAUCACCUUCGAGUGGUGGAGAGUGGCAGACGGGUGAGUAACGCGUGGGAACCUACCUAGUGGUACGGAAUAACUCAGGGAAACUUGGGCUAAUACCGUAUGUGCCCGAAAGGGGAAAGAUUCAUCGCCACUAGAUGGGCCCGCGUCGGAUUAGCUUGUUGGUGAGGUAACGGCUCACCAAGGCGACGAUCCGUAGCUGGUCUGAGAGGAUGAUCAGCCACACUGGGACUGAGACACGGCCCAGACUCCUACGGGAGGCAGCAGUGGGGAAUAUUGGACAAUGGGCGCAAGCCUGAUCCAGCCAUGCCGCGUGAGUGAUGAAGGCCCUAGGGUUGUAAAGCUCUUUCGGCGGGGACGAUAAUGACGGUACCCGCAGAAGAAGCCCCGGCUAACUUCGUGCCAGCCGCCGCAGUAA